AUUGAACGCUGGCGGCAGGCCUAACACAUGCAAGUCGAACGAGUGGCGGACGGGUGAGUAAUGUCUGGGAAACUGCCUGAUGGAGGGGGAUAACUACUGGAAACGGUAGCUAAUAUCGCAUACCAUCAGAUGUGCCCAGAUGGGAGUAGCUAGUAGGUGAGGUAACGGCUCACCUAGGCGACGAUCCCUAGCUGGUCUGAGAGGAUGACCAGCCACACGGGAACUGAGACACGGUCCAGACUCCUACGGGAGGCAGCAGGGGGGAAUAUUGCACAAUGGGCGCAAGCCUGAUGCAGCCAUGCCGCGUGAAUGAAGAAGGCCUUCGGGUUGUAAAGUACUUUCAGCGGGGAGGCGUUACCCACAGAAGAAGCACCGGCUAACUCCGUGCCAGCAGCCGCGGUAAUAC
rnacentral:rRNA from 1 species